UGGAUUACAGGCAGGGAAAAUAAUCUUACACUACAGAGACGUUCACACAAGUAUCAUAUCAAGGUUCCUCAUAUGGGGUCUCUUACUGGGAGUCAUAUCAGCAGCUCUCACCAAGUGCUCCACAGACCAGGGCUUCAUUCCUGUCAACAAGAACCUAUGGUGACGUUCAUUUUCAUGCUUUUACCAGAGUUCAAAUGUUUGCACAACAUUUUAGUUUAUUCGGCACUACAAGUCACUACAAUUAAAGACAUUUAAAUCGCAGUAGUAGAGACGUUGUGUCUUGUCCAAUAAAUAAAAAUCCAGACAAAUUAAGUCAUCUUUUUUUUUUUUUUACGGUUGUUUUCAACUUUAUUGCAUGCACUUGUUUAUUCCCCUU